GUGGGUAUAGCUCAGUGGUAGUGCGCCUGCUGGGCACACACGAGGUGCUGGGUUCAAUCCCCAGUACCUCUA
rnacentral:tRNA from 1 species